AUUGAACGCUGGCGGCAGGCCUAACACAUGCAAGUCGAGCGGAUGAAGGGAGCUUGCUCCUGGAUUCAGCGGCGGACGGGCGAGUAAUGCCUAGGAAUCUGCCUGGCCGUGGGGGAUCACGUCCGGAAACGGGCGCUAAUACCGCAUACGUCCUGAGGGAGAAAUUGAGGGAUCUUCGGACCUCACGCUAUCAGAUGAGCCUAGGUCGGAUUAGCUAGUUGGUGGGGUAAAGGCCUACCAAGGCGACGAUCCGUAACUGGUCUGAGAGGAUGAUCAGUCACACUGGAACUGAGACACGGUCCAGACUCCUACGGGAGGCAGCAGUGGGGAAUAUUGGACAAAGGGCGAAAGCCUGAUCCAGCCAUGCCGCGUGUGUGAAGAAGGUCUUCGGAUUGUAAAGCUCUUUUAGUUGGGAGGAAGGGCAGUAAGUUAAUACCUUGCUGUUUUGACGGUACCAACAGAAUAAGCACCGGCUAACUUCGUG
rnacentral:rRNA from 1 species